GGCAAAUAUACUCCACUCUAAAGUUGUCCACGUCAGAUCAAUAAAUCAACCAAUAAGGAAUUGUUGUUUUUCCCCGUCACGCAUUCUAUUAAUCGUAAUGAGCUACUGAUUUAUGUCAAUUGGCCCAGCUGCUGAUCUAUUUCAAUUGGCCCAGCCUUAACAAAACCAGCCGCCUUCGUCUCUUCCAAUUCCUUUUUUGUUACGACAUUCGUCUCUUCCAAUUCAUCAGAAUCAAUUCGCCGUUUCUAUUAUAUUAAUCAUCAUCCACUCCCAUUCAUUCAAUAACGUUCUUCAAUCCUUCUAAUCAGAUGCAUCCUUCCACCUCCUUGUGUUUCUUCUCAUAUAUAAAUCCUUUUGUAUCAGUUCACAUUGAACCAUAUUCUAAAUCCUCCAUAAGACAACAUUGAUCGACCAGCCAUGAUACCCGAUCAUGCUUCCAGGAAUCUACUAAUUCGCCCUCAUCAAUGAACAGCAAGCUUCAUCUCAUCUAAUCGUGCUCCACGAUACGGCUUCAACUCAAACCAGGAGUAGAUCAACUGUGUUUACAAAGGAUGCAGUCUACGAUGAUCAAUCAGUAAUCUCAGAGAGGGAGGUAGUCAUUGUUAUAUCCACUCUUUGAUUUGUGUCUCUCAAUGUUCUGUUAUGGUAUUUUCCUAUUUUUCCUAACACUCAUUGGCCAUAAAGUUUUGGAUGAAUUUCUAAUGUUUUCUUUACCACCAAAAAAAUCAUGGCAAGGUCAAGCUCGGCUCUUACCUAUGUUUCUUGGUGCUUGCUUAUAUUGGUUCUUUUUCUUCAUGAUCAAUUGUGGGUUUCAAAUAUAUAUGAGUGUUGCCUAUUGUUUUUGUUUUGCACUUCUGUUGUGCAGAUUACUUGGACGGACUUAGCCAAAGCUAUUGGUGACUACCUCCUUCAGUCAAUAGGUGGUUACAUGUCUAUGGACAUGUUUAUUAAAAGUGUGUACGCAUAUCUGACUUUGAUAUCUUCGGGGUCUGCUAGAAAUUACGGACUUUCUCUUUUAUGUUUUCGUACCUCUUCUACAUGGUUGAUUGGGCAAGUAAAUGGAGAAUAGUGCAGAAAGAAUAGGAAAAUAUGAUUAAUAUUUUAGUGAUCGUAAAUCCUCUUUAAAAAAAAAAAUCGAUCUGCUUUUCAGCUUAUGACCGAGAGAUUAAAGCCGGUGCUUUUCUAAGGAUUACCAAGCGCAUGGGGUUUGGAGUACAUGGUGGUUUAACUGUGCAGUAUUUUCUCUUAUCUCUCAGUUUCCUUAGCCGGUUAGUACAAAUGACUAUCAUCAUGGUCAUAGACAUGUGUGGUGAAGCUAACGUAAGUGUGAUCAAUAAUAAUCAGAUCUUUGUAUCAUUUUUGUCAUUAUUUGGUUGAUUUUACUGCUGAUCACAUCUGUUUUGGGCUCUAGAUGUAUUGCCAGUGUGUUUACAAUUUUUUACGUACACUUAAUAUUUUUCAUGUAUUACUCUCAUUUGUCAAGCUACUUUUAAUUUGACUGCAUAGUUUUUUAUUGAUGCCUUACUCUUAUUAACUCAGACAGACCUUCACCAGCAAUGGCUUCCAAGAAUUUGAAAGCGAAGGCAUCUCUCUCCCCACACGUAUUCUUUGAUGAUGUGGUUCCCGAAAUUUGCAUUGACACUUUGUGUCGGCUGUGGUGUAUGACCAUGGCGAUAUUUCUGGAGGGGUUUCCUCGAGUCCAAGAUCCGAAUCAAAGAUCGGAGGUAAUGAAUUGGAUGAGAGACAGGAGUUGAAGAAUACAAUUCUUAGCUCAAGUAAUUUACUGUUACUAUCCAUUUUUCGAACUCUUGCAGUCGGAGGAACUAACAAUUGAAAAGUUGCAGAGCAAGCAACUACAUCUAAUGUUUCACUUCCCGGACGUUUAAUAGCAGCAAAAGAACAAAUUGAUCUGGAAGAGAAUGCCCCAAAGAAAGCAGCUAAAGAACAAGUCCUUAUCGAUUAACGUUUUAGCAUCUUUCAACUUUGCUUACAUCUUUUUUUUAACACGUAACUUUGCUUACAUCUGUUUCUCUCUUUAAAAAAAACUUAGGGACGUGGUUAGGACGUGGUUAGGACGUGGUUGUUAUUUCUUUUAUCAUUGCAAUUUUUUUAACAAUAUGCAUCCACAUGUUUUGGAUUCAUAAGUUCUGUAGUCAUGUCAGUCUUCAUUAGUACGUUCACUCUAACCCACA